UGCGUUUUGAAGUGGGUAUACCAACAAUAUCAGUUAAUUGGCCGGAUUGUAGGAGUUCUCCGAUCUUAGCAACAACAAAGGCGGCGGUGGAGCCAGUACCGAGUCCGAGAACCAUACCGGAUUUGACGUAAUCAACGGCUUUUCCGGCUGCAAGUUUCUUGAGUUCAUCUUGGGUGAGUAUAGGGGCGGAUUGGGCUCUGAUAGAGAAGUUCUUGGUGGGAGUGCGUAGGCUAAGGGAGCGGGUGCGCAGGGGAAGGAGGGAAGAGGCAUUAUGGUAGAGGGAGGAUGAGGAGGUGGAGGGAGGGGAGAGGAGGGAUAAGGAGGCCAUUGGUGGAAAUGGAAAAGAGAGGAAAUGAAAGGUUUGUUUUCGGCUGUUCUUCUGUCGUGUUUGGG
rnacentral:misc_RNA from 1 species